AUAGUCCUACGGGGCGCAGCAGUGGGGGAUAUUGCACAAUGGGGGGAACCCUGAUGCAGCGACGCCGCGUGGGUGAAGAAGCGCCUCGGCGCGUAAAGCCCUGUCAGCAGGGAAGAAAAUGACGGUACCUGAGGAAGAAGCCCCGGCUAACUACGUGCCAGCAGCCGCGGUAAUACGUAGGGGGCAAGCGUUAUCCGGAUUUACUGGGUGUAAAGGGGGCGCAGACGGCGAUGCAAGUCCGGAGUGAAAGCCCACGGCCCACCCGUGGGAUUGCUCUGGAAACUGUAGAGCUGGAGUGCGGGAGG
rnacentral:rRNA from 1 species